UUAGUUGCCAGCAUUUAGUUGGGCACUCUAAGGGGACUGCCGGUGAUAAGCCGAGAGGAAGGUGGGGAUGACGUCAAGUCCUCAUGGCCCUUACGGGCUGGGCUACACACGUGCUACAAUGGUGGUGACAGUGGGCAGCGAGACAGCGAUGUCGAGCUAAUCUCCAAAAGCCAUCUCAGUUCGGAUUGCACUCUGCAACUCGAGUGCAUGAAGUUGGAAUCGCUAGUAAUCGCAGAUCAGCAUGCUGCGGUGAAUACGUUCCCGGGCCUUGUACACACCGCCCGUCACACCAUGGGAGUUGGUUUUACCCGAAGGUAGUGCGCUAACCGCAAGGAGGCAGCUAACCACGGUAGGGUCAGCGACUGGGGUGAAGUCGUAACAAGGUAGCCGU
rnacentral:rRNA from 1 species